AACGAACGCUGGCGGCAGGCUUAACACAUGCAAGUCGAGCGCCCCGCAAGGGGAGCGGCAGACGGGUGAGUAACGCGUGGGAAUUUACCCAGUGGUACGGAACAACCCAGGGAAACUUGGGCUAAUACCGUAUAAGUCCUUCGGGAGAAAGAUUUAUCGCCAUUGGAUGAGCCCGCGUCGGAUUAGCUAGUUGGUGGGGUAACGGCCUACCAAGGCGACGAUCCGUAGCUGGUCUGAGAGGAUGAUCAGCCACACUGGGACUGAGACACGGCCCAGACUCCUACGGGAGGCAGCAGUGGGGAAUAUUGGACAAUGGGCGCAAGCCUGAUCCAGCCAUGCCGCGUGAGUGAUGAAGGCCUUAGGGUUGUAAAGCUCUUUCGGCGGGGAAGAUAAUGACGGUACCCGCAGAAGAAGCCCCGGCUAACUUCGUGCCAGCCGCCGCCGUAACAC
rnacentral:rRNA from 1 species